GGGGUUUCCCUUGUGGUCGGUGUACAGGUGGUGCAUGGCUGUCGUCAGCUCGUGUCGUGAGAUGUUGGGUUAAGUCCCGCAACGAGCGCAACCCUUGUCCUGUGUUGCCAGCAAUUCGGUUGGGGACUCGCAGGAGACUGCCGGGGUCAACUCGGAGGAAGGUGGGGACGACGUCAAGUCAUCAUGCCCCUUAUGUCCAGGGCUUCACACAUGCUACAAUGGCCGGUACAGAGGGCUGCGAUACCGCGAGGUGGAGCGAAUCCCUUAAAGCCGGUCUCAGUUCGGAUCGGGGUCUGCAACUCGACCCCGUGAAGUCGGAGUCGCUAGUAAUCGCAGAUCAG
rnacentral:rRNA from 1 species